ensembl:snoRNA SNORA70 Small nucleolar RNA SNORA70
CUGAAGCCAAUUAAGUUGACCAGGUUCCUUCCCUCAUGCAGGCCUGGUAUGCAAACAGCAACCUCCUUGGUGUGUAGGCAGCCUGUCACUCUGUCACUUAUGGGCUACCCUAAAGGGAACAUGGAGACAAUU